CAGUCGCCGCGGUAAUACGGAGGGUGCAAGCGUUAAUCGGAAUUACUGGGCGUAAAGCGCACGCAGGCGGUCUGACAAGUCAGAUGUGAAAUCCCCGGGCUUAACCUGGGAACUGCAUUUGAAACUGGCAGGCUAGAGUCUUGUAGAGGGGGGUAGAAUUCCAGGUGUAGCGGUGAAAUGCGUAGAGAUCUGGAGGAAUACCGGUGGCGAAGGCGGCCCCCUGGACAAAGACUGACGCUCAGGUGCGAAAGCGUGGGGAGCAAACAGGAUUAGAUACCCCGGUAGUCCCUGUCUCUUAUAC
rnacentral:rRNA from 1 species